GGCUCAGAGUGAACGCUGGCGGCAGGCCUAAUACAUGCAAGUCGAACGGCAGCACAGCAGAGCUUGCUCUGUGGGUGGCGAGUGGCGGACGGGUGAGGAAUACAUGGGAAUCUGCCCAGUCGUGGGGGAUAACGUAGGGAAACUUACGCUAAUACCGCAUGCGCCCUUCGGGGGAAAGCCGGGGACCUUCGGGCCUGGCGCGAUUGGAUGAGCCCAUGUCGGAUUAGCUAGUUGGCGGGGUAAUGGCCCACCAAGGCGACGAUCCGUAGCUGGUCUGAGAGGAUGAUCAGCCACACUGGAACUGAGACACGGUCCAGACUCCUACGGGAGGCAGCAGUAGGGAAUAUUGGACAAUGGGCGCAAGCCUGAUCCAGCCAUGCCGCGUGAGUGAAGAAGGCCCUCGGGUUGUAAAGCUCUUUUGUCCGGAAAGAAAAGCGCCGGGUUAAUACCCUAGUGUCCUGACGGUACCGGAAGAAUAAGCACCGGCUAACUUCGUG
rnacentral:rRNA from 1 species